AACGAGCGCUGGCGGCAUGCCUAACACAUGCAAGUCGAACGAUUGCCUUCGGGUGAUAGUGGCGCACGGGUGCGUAACGCGUGGGAAUCUGCCCUUAGGUUCGGAAUAACAGCUGGAAACGGCUGCUAAUACCGGAUGAUAUCGCGAGAUCAAAGAUUUAUCGCCUGAGGAUGAGCCCGCGUUGGAUUAGGUAGUUGGUGGGGUAAAGGCCUACCAAGCCGACGAUCCAUAGCUGGUCUGAGAGGAUGAUCAGCCACACUGGGACUGAGACACGGCCCAGACUCCUACGGGAGGCAGCAGUGGGGAAUAUUGGACAAUGGGCGCAAGCCUGAUCCAGCAAUGCCGCGUGAAUGAUGAAGGCCCUAGGGUUGUAAAGCUCUUUUACCCGGGAAGAUAAUGACUGUACCGGGAGAAUAAGCCCCGGCUAACUCCGUG
rnacentral:rRNA from 1 species